UACGUAGGGGGCUAGCGUUGUUCGGAAUUACUGGGCGUAAAGCGCACGUAGGCGGCUUUGCAAGUUAGAGGUGAAAGCCCGGGGCUCAACUCCGGAAUUGCCUUUAAAACUGCAUCGCUAGAAUUGUGGAGAGGUAAGUGGAAUUCCGAGUGUAGAGGUGAAAUUCGUAGAUAUUCGGAAGAACACCAGUGGCGAAGGCGACUUACUGGACACAUAUUGGCGCUGAGGUGCGAAAGCGUGGGGGAGCAAACAGG
rnacentral:rRNA from 1 species